rnacentral:rRNA from 1 species
AAAUCCCCGGGCUUAACCUGGGAACUGCAUUUGAAACUGUAUAACUAGAGUAGGGUAGAGGAGAGGGGAAUUUCCGGUGUAGCGGUGAAAUGCGUAGAUAUCGGAAGGAACACCAGUGGCGAAGGCGCCUCUCUGGAUUCAUACUGACACUGAGGUGCGAAACGUGGGGAGCAAACAGGAUUAGAUACCCUGGUAGUCCACGCCGUAAACGAUGAGAACUAGCCGUUGGGGGGCAUGUCCUUAGUGGCNAACGUAACGCGAUAAGUUCUCCGCCUGGGGAGUACGGCCGCAAGUUAAAACUCAAAGGAAUUGACGGGGGCCCNCACAAGCUGGAACAUGUGGUUUAAUUCGAUGCAACGCGAA